CUGCUUUCCGCCCGUACCUGGGCGGACUGACCAAAUCCCAGCUUUUUUUGGUCAUCACUUCCUGUUUCUCUUCACUGGGCAGCGCUUACCUGGCCAUUCUCGCCAAAAUGGGGAUCUCCAUCGAUCUGAUCAUCGGUGCCAUGCUCCUGUCCGCCCCCGCCACCUUCACGGUGUGUAAGCUGAUUAUGCCAGAGACCAGCCGGAGGAAAGGUAAUCAAGUCAGUGACGUCGGCAACGAGAAAAGCAAGUACACGAACG